GACGAACCGUGCGAACGUUGUUCGGAAUCACUGGGCUUAAAGGGCGCGUAGGCGGGUUGCCGCGUCCGGGGUGAAAUCCCACGGCUCAACCGUGGGACGGCCCCGGAUACGGGCGGCCUGGAGGGGGGUAGGGGCGGGCGGAACUCUGCGUGGAGCGGUGAAAUGCGUUGAUAUGCAGAGGAACACCGAUGGCGAAGGCAACCACCUGGGCCUGCACUGACGCUGAGGUACGAAAGCGUGGGGAGCAAACAGG
rnacentral:rRNA from 1 species